UAAGACGCUUGCGUAGUGAAUUCAAUUUAAUUUUCAAUUUUAUUUUUUAAGUGGUUUAAGUGGUUAUAAAAAGAAGAAAAGACUUAUUAAGAAUUCUAGAAUUAAAUUAUGAAAAUUGGGAGCUUAUUUGUUGAAACUACAUAUUGAGAUUGAUAAAAUAUAUAUUUUUAUAACAAUUUCAUUGAGAUUGCUGCAUAUAUGUGAGUAAAAACUAUAAUUUAUAAUAUAAAUUUAUAAUAUAAUUUUAUAAUAUAAAUAAUAUUGAAUUAUACUAAUUAUAAAAAUUUAAUUUUCUAUCCAUUAUUGAAUAAUUUAUAUCGAAUAUAAUUUUUAUAUCAAAAAUAUUUUUUCGAUUUUUAUAUAAUUUAGAUGGAUUUUUCAUGUUUUCUUAAAUAAAAUAAUAAAUUGUUAAAUAUUUAUGAUUAAAUAAUUUUUAUGAAUGAUCUUUUAUCAUAAAAAUUUAUCAUCAUUUUAAAAAUAUAAAAGCAAUGAUGAUUUUUUUUAUAUUUUCAUAUUAAUAUUUUAAUAUAUUUAUAACAAAAAGAAAAGUAUUUGAAAAAAAUGUGUUUUUUUUUUUCAUUUUCCUCUUGUUCCUUUUUUAAUAUUUAUUUCUUUCAGCAAUUUUGUGAUCGUGUGCAAUGCGAUCUUAGAGACAGUGUUUGAUACGCGGUAUAAUAUUAUUUAUUUAAAUAGCUUAUAUUUUUUAAUUGAACGUAAAAGUAAAGUCAGUGUUUGUUGUUCAAUAUUUUAUUUCAUCUUAAGUUCAUAAAGAUUUCGGUUAUCGCGAAAUUAGAAUCAAAUCUGAGUGAAGAAAGGAUCUCCUUCGGAUUAUAGUGAAGAAAAAAAAUGUAAAAAGAAUAAACAGAAAUUCAACAAAUAUAUCAUAAUAAUCAUACCGUCGUGCUACAUGACUAUAUUUUGUUUACAAGUGCACCUAUGGAGUUAUCUCAAAUUUCAACCUUGACAAAUAAAGAGCAUCAACCGUUUGUUACAGCAUUGUGUACAUGCAUUCAACGAACGGUGAGUCAAUACAUAUUUCAAUUUAUACAUAUUAGUUGCAUGUGAGCAUAGUGAUUACGAAAAAAAGAUUUUCGUUUCAUAUAUUAAUAUUUAUUUGUUUUUUUGAUUAUGUUUUGUAUGUAUUAGUUUAGGUUAGAAUCUUCUUGUUUCUUUUAUGUAUAAUAGAUAAUAGAGUAGAAGUCGGAUGAUCCUCCGAUUUCGCAAUAAAUAUUUAUUUUUUAUUCUUUUAAAUUUAUAAUUUGUAAUGAAUACUUUAUAAUAAUUGUGUUUUAUAGUAAAAAAAAA